rnacentral:lncRNA from 1 species
AUGGAGAGAAACAAUGAGAGGGAGAGAGAGUCAAAUAGGGUUUGGAAUAUGUUGUUGAUGUGUGGGAGCAGGCGUGCCAAUUGGGUUUUGGGAGAUGAGGAGAGAUCUAGACACAAGUAAAGCUGCUGCCGGCGUGCCUCAUCAUCAUCAUCAUCAAAGCCACCACCAUCAUAUCUGAUCGAAAAUACUAGUAUACUUGCUUAGCCCACUCACCAUUUCUUGCCUCCUAAGCCUCUCAUUCGAACCCUGCCAAAGUUUCACCACCUUUUCCCUUUCUUAGCUGUUACAUUAUAAACCCCCAUACACCAAUGUCAUAGAGCCCCCAUCAUCUACCUAUAGAUAAUAUCAAAGUAUAUGUACCCUCUUCAUCAAAAUCCAGGGCAUGCCUUUCACUCUUUUCCCAAUUCCCACUUAACAUAUAUGUAUGUAUUUCCUCCUAGUUUAUAAAAACCCACAUGCGCUCUAAUCUCACCACUCCAUAACACACACAACCCUAGUUAGCUAGCUAGCCUUCUAGUCCCUCUGUCUAGAUUCAGUCCAAACAUGGUUCAUAGUGAUUACUCUAUGCCUCUCUGGUGGUCAUCAUUAUGGGUACUCUCCCAAAGAUCUAAGACCUCACCCACUACUUAAAGACUAAGUCUUGAUGAAUUGUCAUAGCUAUAGUCAAUCUGGUUCUUUAUUUAUAUGAUUGCAACCCAAGUCCCCAGCUUGAUUGUUCAUUGUCUUAGCCUUGUUGUCUUUAUGCUCAAACAUUAAUUCCUUCCCUUCUAGAGAGGAAUCUUGGUCUCCUUGGCCCAGAAUAUCCUUAGCUCUAUCAUCAAGCUCAACUACAUAUAUAUAUAUAUAUAUAUAUAUAUAUAUAUAUAUAUAUAUAUUAUUAAGAUCAGGAAAAUAAUACAGUGGCUCUAGGUUUUUUUUUUUUUUUUUUUAGUUUUAAUGUUCUAUCCAUGUCAAUUGUCAAGGACCCAAGGUGGGAAGUUUCAUUGUUUCUUCUGGUUUUUCUUGGUUUUUUCAUGGAUGAAUCAUUAGGAAAAUUCCAUGCUUGGAAUCUUUGUUCCUUUUCUAUAAAGAAGUACUGGGUUAAAUAAGGAAGUGUUUUCUUGGGAGCCAUUAUUAUUGUAAAUAUAAGAAUCUUGGCAUCGCCAACAGUCGAGCAUUUUCCUUGGGAAAAGUAACUCAAUUCCCCAGAAUUAACUCAAGAAAUAUUCCCCCUCACUGCCAAAACUGUGUGGUAAAAAUUAUUAUAAAAGUAUCUAUAUCAACCUUUUUAAUUAGUUCACUCAAAAAUUGAAGGAUGGCUUUGUUUUAAUUUCUGAUUUUCUGAUGCAUUAGCCAUCUUUGGUUUAGCUAGAAACUAUAAUAACAUAAAUUAUGCAGAUGAAAUGUCACUGCCUCAACAAUAAUACAAAAUUAAAAGUCUGGUGGGUUAGGACCAGUAGUUAUGUUCUUAGUGUGGUUGGUUUAGUUUAGUCAUGAAAUAAAGAACCAUUAUCUUUUCUAGUUUAAAAAGGAAUCCAGAUUAAGAUGUGAGAAAUGAUUAAUUAAAUUUUGAGUUUAGACCAACAUACUUAACAUCAAUCAUGUUAAUCAAGACCUAUCUACUUAACUUGUACAAUUAUACAAGUCCUUUGGGUUGUAGUCAUGGUCCUGCAUGUCUUCUUGCCUUUUUCCUGAUCCUCAUUAGGAACUAAUCAUUCAAUAAAAAUUCUACUAGUUGAUGAUGUUGCGAGGCCCUACUCUGGGGUUAAUUAAGAAUUGUUAAACCAAAUUAUUCGAUUAUUGUUAUGGAGUCAUUUUGGAACUAGCUAUUUAAACUGAUCUAAAAUUAGAGCUCUGCAGUCUACAUCAUACGUAUAACUCAACAAUCACAUAUUGAGUAUUUUACCUUGUUAUCAAUGGACAGUUGCUCGAGGGCAUCAAACAAAGCGCUCAUUUAUUCAUCAGUCUUUUUAAAUUUUUCAAAAAAUUUAUGCUUGAAACAUUAUUUAAUAUCG